GGAAAGCCCAAAAUCACAAACCUUGAAGCAUGGAAAUGCAUCUGGAGCAGCGUUUCAACAUUUCAGAUAUGGUUCCGAAAUGUAAACUCUUGGACACACAUGAUACAUCCUGGGAUGUUUCUGCAAAUUGUGAAAAACUGGAAGCGCAUUUCUUGUUUGAAAACACGUCAGCAAAAAAAAAAAAUCCGGAGCAGCGAAAGCUUCCUUCUGUCACAUUUUGAAGACCAAAUCCUUCUUCCUUUCUCGCUUGUAGCUACUGUCAAUCUCCAUGGGCCCUUCGUCUCUCACCUGUCCUUGAAAUUGCCAGAAACGAGCUUGUCAUCAUCAGCAUCAGGUCGUUGACUCUGAAGAGCCGUCAUGCUUUGAAGACCAAAAUCCUUCCUUUCUUGCUAGUCGAUACCGUUGUUCUCCCUAGGCCCUUCUUCUCUCACCUGUCCCUUGAAAAGCCAGUGAUCACUUUCUCCUUAUCAGGAUGAGUUGGCCAAUCCCAAUCCUAUCCCCUGCUGGCUGCCAUAAGUUUUUGUCCAAUCUGUGGUUUUUGUUCUUUCUUUUUUCCCAUUUCGUUUUUAUAUUUCUGUCCAAUUUAUUAUUUGUAUUUUCCCCUAUUUUUGUCCAAUUUCUGAUUUCUUCUUUCUAUUGUUGUUAUUUCUUUUAUAACAUUCCAAGAAUUUUGGUUAAUUGAUUUAAUUUUUUUGCAAGGUUUAUUAGAUAGGAUAUUUUUACAGUUCCUUAGUUUUUAUUAGCUCAUGAUAAACACGCCAAAAUUAGUUAGGUUGUUAACUCUUGUAGAAGCUUAUGUUACUCAAUUAGUUAGUUUAUUAGAUAAUUAGUUUCUAGGUAGCUGAUGGAUAUGUAAGUGUUGAAAUCCCUGAUUUGUUGUACUAGCAGAUUAUUAAGAUCUUAUUUGAUUAUUCUUUCCUAUUGCACUAUAUUUCCUACUUAUCUUAGUUUCCUUGUUAAGAUAAAUCACUUGUAUAUAAAUAGAAGCAUGUACAAAGAAUUUUAUAUAUAAAAAACACAGAAAUUUCUCUCACAUACAUUAGUUUCAACAUAGUAUCAGAGCUUUCAAUUCAUUAGGGCUGGCUUUAUUACUGUUCAUGCCUGUUCAUGCGCACGGUUCACACACACUAUUCACAGCACGUGAACCUUUUUUCCAACUUUUUUCAAUUGUUCCUCAUGUGUUGCACUUCUACCGAACUCUUGUCCUUCACCUAACCACCAGCGAAUAUGUCUGAAACAAUGGAUUACUCUAAAAGAA
rnacentral:misc_RNA from 1 species